rnacentral:rRNA from 1 species
AUGGUAGGAUAGAGGCCUACCAUGGUGGUAACGGGUAACGGGGUGUUAGGGCACGACACCGGAGAGGGAGCCUGAGAAACGGCUACCACAUCCAAGGAUGGCAGCAGGCGCGCAAAUUACCCAAUCCCGACACGGGGAGGUAGUGACAAUAAAUAACAAUACGGGGUUCUUUAGGAUCUCGUAAUUGGAAUGAGUACAAUUUAAAUCUCUUAACGGGGAACAAUUGGAGGGCAAGUCUGGUGCCAGCAGCCGCGGUAAUUCCAGCUCCAAUAGCGUAUAUUAAAGUUGUUGCAGUUAAAAAGCUCGUAGUUGAAUUUCGGGGUCAGUAGGUCGGUCGUGCCACUGGUAUGAACUGGUUUUACUGAUUCCUCCCUCUUGAAGAACUGUAAUGCCAUUAAUUUGGUGUUGCAGGGAAUCAGGACUGUUACUUUGAAAAAAUUAGAGUGUUUAAAGCAGGCUUUAGCUUGAAUACAUUAGCAUGGAAUAAUGAAAUAGGACGUUUGAUCCUAUUUUGUUGGUUUCUAGGAUUGACGUAAUGAUUAAUAGGGAUAGUUGGGGGCAUUAGUAUUCAAUUGUCAGAGGUGAAAUUCUUGGAUUUAUUGAAGACUAACUACUGCGAAAGCAUUUGCCAAGGAUGUUUUCAUUAAUCAAGAACGAAAGUUAGGGGAUCGAAGACGAUCAGAUACCGUCGUAGUCUUAACCAUAAACUAUGUCGACUAGGGAUCGGAUGAUGUUAAUUUUUUAAUGACUCAUUCGGCGCCUUACGGGAAACCAAAGUGUUUGGG